UGGGGUGUAGCCAAGUGGUUAAGGCAUCGGAUUUUGAUUCCGACAUGCGAGGGUUCAAAUCCUUCCACCCCAG
rnacentral:tRNA from 1 species